rnacentral:miRNA from 1 species
GAUAUCGCGCCCACCUUUAUU